rfam:Triticum aestivum genome assembly, contig: Triticum_aestivum_CS42_TGACv1_scaffold_306882_4AS
AAUGUACACCCUUCGUCCGAAAAUACUUGUCGGGGAAAUGUAUAAAAAUAGAUGUAUCUAGAACUAAAAUAUGUUUAGAUAUAUCCAUUUCUCUGACAAGUAUUUCCGGACGAAAGAGUAGUAA